UCAUUAUGCUGGUUAGUUGGUUGAAACAUCCUGUUGUAUGUGGCACGCUUUUAUCGGUGGUAAGACACAUUAAGUUUAUAAAAUGGACAUGUAUCCCGGCUUCAUGUAGGUUAUGGUAAGUGGGGUAUAUGAAUUCGUUAUUAUAGUCUGAUUACACAAAAAAUUAAACAAAGGCACCCUAAUACAUAAGACUCAAGCAGUCCAAAUGGUUCUUGGUGAAAACCAAAUGUAACUCAUUUCAUUCACUGUGCAUCUAGAAGUCUCUGUUGCAAACAUGAUUUCAAACUUGAUAGGUCAUCAUGCAUCAAGUACAAGAAAGUGCAGUCAAACUUGAAUUCAUGAUUAUGGUUAGAAACUGAUGUACAUUUAAAAAGUGUUACAGUUUUGUCUGUUGCAAAACCAAUUGAAUCGCAUCAAAAGAUUACUACUUGACUCAUCUCAAUUACUUUUAUCCUCCAUGUAGGGUUAUUUUGGUGCUUUGGUGCUAUUUUGGUCCCUAUUCCCUGCAUUGUAUAGACAAACAAAUAUUACAUAUAUUAUUAAGAUGUGUGCCACUCCUGCUGACUUUGAGGAGACUAGUAACUUGUGACACCUCGUUUGAUCCUGUUUGCAUCUUUGGCUAUAUUCAUGGCGAGAACUGGUUAAUCCAUAUACAAGUUUUUAUUUACACAAGUCAAUCCAGACACUGGUUGGGGUAGAGACAAUUUGGCAUCUGUGAUACUCGGGACAAUGGAUUAAACAAUGGAUGAUCAGCCUGAAAGCCAAAAGAAUCUGCAAGGGUGUUCAGCCAACGUGUCUCACUGGACUUUCUGCAUUGUGUAUUACAUCUCAACUUGCAAAAAGUGAAAGCAGCAUCCACACUGGAAGUCCUUCAAAGACGCUUCAUUAAAAUCAAACCAGAAAAGGGAACCAAGGCUGCAAAGGGAAAAGUGACCUCUAAAACAAGAAAACUGCAAAAGAAGACCAUCAACAGUCAGUCUCAAACUAUCAAAUCUUUUAAAAAGACUUAUGGACUUUGAGUGGUACUUCAUUUAAAAUGUAGCUGACACUUCCCACCAAUUUUUUUAAAAUAUGGUGGGCUGCAGCCUGCAGUGAUGGCAGGUGACUUCUCUGAGUGGGCACGAAUGCAAAGCCAAAACAUUGUCGUGUGUGGCUCCUCAUUUCAAAGUGUGUGUUCGGCGCGUCAUGUAAACCUGUGCAUCGCGUGUCAUUUCAAAAUACGUGCCUGCUCCAGACACUUUGAAGGGGAUUAUGAUAAAAUGCUCGCUUUUGCCAGAUAAUCUCAUGUAUAAACAGAGUUUAGUGUUAAAUGAGUGUCUUGCGAGUAUCAUGUGAAUGUCUCUUUUAUUCUUUAUCAUAUUCAAAGCAUUUGUGGCAGGCAUGUAUUUUGACAUGAUGUGCGAUGCAUAUAAUUCACAUUACACCCCGAACACAUAUUUUGCAUUCAGGCAACCACUGGUGGGGUGGUGUUUUUUAUACUGGUUUGUAUAUUAUAGACCAUGUUUUCAUAUUUAAAAUUGGGCUGGUGUCUGUAAAAGAAUUAGUGAAUUAAGGUUUUAUUGAAUUCUUUUAAAAAUGUGGUGUUUUUACAGUUGUGAAACUUUUGUGUUUUUUGAAAUCUAAAUUUUAAACUACAUUUGUAUUUUAAGUAAAGAUAAGGCAUCUCAAUGUUGUUCUUUGUUAGAUUUUUUUGUCGUUUUUGUAUUUUAGUAUGUUAUUGGUGCCUUUUUGUUGCACCACAGUUUAUGCACUGAAUAUUAAAAUAUAUCUGCUUGUAUUUCUGCCUGUUUUAUGGCAUAACAAACAUAGCAUAAGAGUCAAUCUGGAGUUGAAUAGAAUAAAGAAUAAAAAAUGCAUAACCUGGCCUUUUUUGUUUUAUGUUAUCCACUUUGACAAAUUUUAAAUGCAGGGUAUAAUAGCAUUUAAAUUAAAAAAUAAUGAAGUUGUGACUGUAAAUGAACAGGUAUAUGAUGCUAAAUAACAGUUUUAUGCUGUAGAUAACAAAAACAGUAUCAUGCUAUUAAAUAACAGCUGUAUUCUAUAGAUAACACAAACAGUACCAUGCUGUUAAAAUAACAGUUGACUGCUGUAGGUA